rnacentral:rRNA from 2 species
UCGGGUCGUCAACGUUGUAUUUACUAGAAGACCUUUUUCGGAAGGUAUGCUUAAAGAGGGGCUUGCGUCACAUUAGUUAGUUGGCAGGGUAAAGGCCUACCAAGACUAUGAUGUGUAGCUGGACUGAGAGGUUGAACAGCCACAUUGGGACUGAGACACGGCCCAAACUCCUACGGGAGGCAGCAGUAGGGAAUUUUCGGCAAUGGAGGAAACUCUGACCGAGCAACGCCGCGUGAACGAUGAAGUAUUUCGGUAUGUAAAGUUCUUUUAUUGAAGAAGAAAAAAUAGUGGAAAAACUAUCUUGACGAUAUUCAAUGAAUAAGCCCCGGCAAACUAUGUGCCAGCAGCCGCGGUAAUACAUAGGGGGCGAGCGUUAUCCGGAAUUAUUGGGCGUAAAGGGUGCGUAGGCGGUUUAAUAAGUCUAUAAUUUAAUUUCAGUGCUUAACACUGUCCUGCUAUAGAAACUAUUAGACUAGAGUGAGAUAGAGGCAAGUGGAAUUCCAUGUGUAGCGGUAAAAUGCGUAAAUAUAUGGAGGAACACCAGAGGCGUAGGCGGCUUGCUGGGUCUUUACUGACGCUGAGGCACGAAAGCGUGGGGAGCAAACAGGAUUAGAUACCCUGGUAGUCCACGCCGUAAACGAUGAGUACUAAGUGUCGGGAUUACUCGGUACUGAAGUUAACACAUUAAGUACUCCGCCUGAGUAGUACGUACGCAAGUAUGAAACUUAAAGGAAUUGACGGGACUCCGCACAAGCGGUGGAUCAUGUUGUUUAAUUUGAAGAUACACGAAAAACCUUACCAGGUCUUGACAUACUCUGCAAAGCUAUAGCAAUAUAGUGGAGGUUAUCAGAGAUACAGGUGGUGCAUGGUUGUCGUCAGCUCGUGUCGUGAGAUGUUAGGUUAAGUCCUAAAACGAGCGCAACCCUUGUCAUUAGUUGCCAGCAUGUCAUGAUGGGCACUUUAAUGAGACUGCCAAUGAAAAAUUGGAGGAAGGUGAGGAUCACGUCAAAUCAUCAUGCCCCUUAUGAUCUGGGCUACAAACGUGAUACAAUGGCUGUUACAAAGAGUAGCUGAAACGCAAGUUUAUAGCCAAUCUCAUAAAAGCAGUCUCAGUUCUGAUUGAAGUCUGCAACUCGACUUCAUGAAGUUGGAAUCCGCUAGUAAUCGCGAAUCAGCAUUCGCGGGAAAUUUUUUGGG